rnacentral:lncRNA from 1 species
UUUCUUGCUGCAAUAACCACAUGGACAUUCCUCAUUGCUAAAACUCUUGCUGUCUCUAAACCAAUGCCACUUGCACCUCCUGUUGUCGCAAUACAUUAUCAUAAGAAGUUUAAAAAUAAGCUAAAAAUUCAAACUUGCUCUUCCUCCUAUAAGGAACGCGGUUUUACUUGAAAAUUACCAAGAGCAACAUAUGUAUUCAAAAAACACAAUUAACCACAUAACAGCAAGUAUUGCUUCUCAAAGAUUUGAUGGAAUGGCCCCGCCCACCCAGAGCGCUUAUGUUAUACAGAACAAAAACUAGUCAAAUAAAGAAAUAUUUUUUAUUUCUUUUUUCAAAAGCAAAUCUAUAUGCCACCUAGUUCAUUUUAGAUAUUUUUUUAAGCAAAAAAGAAGAAGACAUCAAACAAGCUGGUAGAUCACACAAGCUCAUAUAAAUAAUGUACAACCACCAAUAUUGCAAGACAAAAAGUCAAAAGCUUAAUAAAUUAAAAACAUCACAAGUACUACUUAGAAAAUCUUUGUCUAGAACAAACUGCUGAGCUCAUAAGAAACAAGAAAAUAUAAAAAAAAUAUAUAAAAAUAAGAAACCCCAUAUUAUUCCAAGUAAGCUAGGUGAACCAAAGAGUCAAUGACCAGCUAUGAACUUUCACCUAAACAUCUACUAUCAUUUUUAUUUUUAUUUUUCUUUUAGUUUAACCAUCUGAUAUUCAACAUUCACUGCGCCGAUUAAUCUGAAUUCACAUCAGACAAACCAUAACGAAAGGUAAACUCGCCUAUAUAUAUCAGUCAUUUACUUCCACGUAACAUGGAUCUAUUAGUGCACUAUAGGGUGUAUACCACUGUAUUACGACUGUAAGAUAUGCAUUGACAAAGUAGAAGAUAGUUAUACACAAUGAGACCAUUGUAAUUAUAAGUAAAUCACUAUAAUAAACAUUACUUAGUAUAACCUAAUAAACACUGAUAACUGACUUGCAUUCUAUAGGGUAGUCCGGUGCACUAAGCUCCGCUACGUAUAGGGUCCGGGGAAGGGUCGAACCACAAGGCUCUAUUAACGUACGCAACCUACACUGCAUUUCUGCGAAAAGAUUGUUUCUGCGGCUCGCACCCAUGACCUACUGGUCAUAUGGCACUAACUUUACUAGUUAUGCCAAGGCUUAUGUUCCUGACUCGCAUGCUAUAACAUGUUAAAUUACAACGAUAACGGGACUAAAUAUGAACCUAACCAGUAACAAUGGCUGUAAGAUUGGAGCCAUCAAUGCCAUUAGUAACUUGCUCAGCAGUGGAAGCUGAUCCAAAACCACUUGGACCUGGUCUACCUGUUAUCAACCUAAACAUUUUCUCACCCUAUAUAUAAAUUCUCGAAAAAUAUAUAACACACAGUUUUCAAACAAGGAAGAAAAAGAGAGACUCUCUUAACUUAUGAUGUUAUAUGAACUGAGAAAGCAGAAACCAAUUUGGUUCAAAAUAUAAAGAGUAUAGGACUUGGUUCAAAAUAUAAAGAGUAUAGGACUGUUCAAGAAGAUAUAAUUAAUUUGAAGGGGCAAAAAGACAAUGACAUAACGGUUGCAAUGAAAGAGAGAAUUAUGGGUGGUGUUGAGAGUUGUGAA